rnacentral:rRNA from 1 species
UACGUAGGCAGCGAGCGUUGUUCGGAAUUACUGGGCGUAAAGAGUGUGUAGGCGGUGCUCUAAGUUCGGUGUGAAAUCUCCCGGCUUAACUGGGAGGGUGCGCCGGAAACUGGAGUGCUCGAGCAUGGGAGAGGAAAGCGGAAUUCCUGGUGUAGCGGUGAAAUGCGUAGAUAUCAGGAGGAACACCUGCGGUGUAGACGGCUUUCUGGACCAUUGCUGACGCUGAGACACGAAAGCGUGGGUAGCAAACAGG